CCUACGGGAGGCUGCAGUGAGGAAUAUUGGUCAAUGGCCGAGAGGCUGAACCAGCCAAGUCGCGUGAGGGAAGACGGCCCUACGGGUUGUAAACCUCUUUUGUCGGGGAGCAAAGCGAGUCACGUGUGACUCAUUGAGAGUACCCGAAGAAAAAGCAUCGGCUAACUCCGUGCCGGCAGCCUCGGUAAGACGGAGGAUGCGAGCGGUAUCCGGAUUGAUUGGGUUGAAAGGGUGCGCAGGGGGAGGUGCAAGUCAGCGGUCAAAUGGCGGGGCUCAACCCCGUACUGCCGUUGAAACUGCAUCCCUUGAGUGCGCGAGAAGUAUGCGGAAUGCGUGGUGUAGCGGUGAAAUGCAUAGAUAUCACGCAGAACUCCGAUGGCGAAGGCAGCAUACCGGCGCGCAACUGACGCUCAUGAACGAAAGCGUGGGUAUCGAACAGGAUUAGAUACCCCAGUAGUC
rnacentral:rRNA from 1 species